GUUUAACCGCAAAUACCGAGAUCCAUGUCUCUCCAAAGGUACUGUGACAGAAGUGAGCGACUCCUCAGGGAUCUCUAUGGCACCGCCCAACUACUUGCAGGAACUCGGACGUUCCUCGGCCUUCGUCCCGCGUGGCACGGUCUUACGGCAAUAAUUCCGUUACUGGUGUUUGUGUCCGGGACAGAACCUCACAUUUCUGUUGCGGUCGUAAAAGGGGAAAACUGGCAAAUACGGUUUCCCCUUUAGUCUUUGGAAAUGCGGGUGUCAUUCGGAGGACCCUAGCUGGCUAGGGAAUACUGGCUUGGGUGUGGGCAUAUCCAUCAGCAGUUCCGAUGCCACAUACCCGAAUUUGGUUGCACUAAUGCGCGCAACCCGGAGGAUUUUCUAGUCUGAGGAUGGGCAGUUGAUCAUAUAUGCUAUAAGCAAAAAUUUCUCUUCCCUUGGCCUCUUCAUGCCAGUACUCGCGCUGGAUGUCUAGGCGAUGUUGGAAUCAGCGGCAAAGUCCGUCGUUCGACAGAAAAUCUAAUGCGUAUAACGUCAUUCAACCGUAUUCUGCUGGAUUCUAUGGAAUCUGCAUCUCUCCCGUCACACUCGGUUCUUUUUUUAAAGGGCAAAAACAUGCUUGUUGACAGGGACACCUCAUUCUCACCGAAACACCUCAAUAGCUUUCAUGUCAAGGCCGAGUUGCGCUGGGGGAUAAAUGGUGCCGCUCUGAGGCUUGGAGUAGGAUCACUGUAACACAAGUCUACGUUUCGUGACUUCCUGUCCCAAUGUCUCGAUUUUGUGUGAGCGCGCAGUACUGCCGUUCCACAUACCGUUCCACAGGACACGACUGAGUCGACAAGGUACACGGGCCUUCCUUUGUGGUUUUCCGUGUCCGCGGCUGGCUUGAAAACUGUUGCACCACUUAAUGCACAUAAGUAAG
rnacentral:lncRNA from 1 species